rnacentral:tRNA from 2 species
AUUGGAGUAGCAAAGAAGGUAUAAAUGCAAAAGAUCUAAACCCUUUAACCAGGGGUUCAAUUCCCCUCCCCAAUA